rnacentral:rRNA from 1 species
GGUGGCUUUGGCGAGGGGCCAACACCCGAUCCCAUCCCGAACUCGGCCGUGAAAACCCUCAGCGCCCAUGGUACUGCGUCUUAAGACGUGGGAGAGUCGGUCGCUGCCA